GGGCACGUGGUGAAAUUGGUAUACACGCUAGCUUCAGGUGCUAGUGGCAGCGAUGUCGUGAGAGUUCGAGUCUCUCCGUGCCCACCA
rnacentral:tRNA from 1 species